rfam:Picea glauca, whole genome shotgun sequence.
GGGUGUGAUCAUACCAGCGCUAAUGCACCAGAUCCCAUCAGAACUCCGCAAUUAAGCGGGCUUGGGCUAGAGUAGGACUGGGAUGGGUGACCUCCUGGGAAGUCGUAGUGUUGCACCCU